GUGGGGAAUAUUGGGCAAUGGGCGCAAGCCUGACCCAGCAACGCCGCGUGAAGGAAGAAGGCUUUCGGGUUGUAAACUUCUUUUCUCAGGGACGAAGAAAGUGACGGUACCUGAGGAAUAAGCCACGGCUAACUACGUGCCAGCAGCCGCGGUAAUACGUAGGUGGCAAGCGUUAUCCGGAUUUAUUGGGUGUAAAGGGCGUGUAGGCGGGAGCGCAAGUCAGAUGUGAAAACUCAGGGCUCAACCCUGAGCCUGCAUUUGAAACUGUGUUUCUUGAGUGCUGGAGAGGCAAUCGGAAUUCCGUGUGUAGCGGUGAAAUGCGUAGAUAUACGGAGGAACACCAGUGGCGAAGGCGGAUUGCUGGACAGUAACUGACGCUGAGGCGCGAAAGCGUGGGGAGCAAACAGGAUUAGAAACCCCAGUAGUCC
rnacentral:rRNA from 1 species